GAACAAUUUAAAAAACUUAGCGAAACAAUUGGAGGGCAAGUCUGGUGCCAGCAGCCGCGGUAAUUCCAGCUCCAAUAGUGUAUAUUAAAGUUGUUGCGGUUAAAAAGCUCGUAGUUGGACUUCGGAACGGGUUCGUUUGGCCCCCUUGGCUUAGGCUUUGGGAUCAGCGCUGGGCGGGCCCUUCUACAUGGGGACAUCACCCCUUCGGGGGCGUUCUCAAAUUUUACUUUGAAUUAAUUAGAGUGUUUCAAACAGGCAAAUUGCCUUGAAUAUUUUAGCAUGGGAUAAUGAAAGAUGACUUCGGUCAAUUUUUGUUGGUUUCUUGGGCCGACGUAAUGAUUAAUAGGGACAGUUGAGGCCGUCCGUAUUCAGUGGCGAGAGGUGAAAUUCUAUGACCCAUUGAGGACGAACAAAGGCGAAGGCAUUCGGCAAGGAUGUUUUCAUUAAUCAAGAACGAAAGUUAUGGGAGCGAAGAUGAUCAGAUACCGUCGUAGUCAUAACUGUAAACUAUGUUGACUUAGGAUCGGGGAAUGUACAUGGAUGACUUUCCAGCACUA
rnacentral:rRNA from 1 species